rnacentral:rRNA from 1 species
UUUAGCAUGGAAUAAUGGAAUAGGACGUGUGGUUCUAUUUUGUUGGUUUCUAGGACCGCCGUAAUGAUUAAUAGGGAUAGUCGGGGGCAUCAGUAUUCAAUUGUCAGAGGUGAAAUUCUUGGAUUUAUUGAAGACUAACUACUGCGAAAGCAUUUGCCAAGGAUGUUUUCAUUAAUCAGUGAACGAAAGUUAGGGGAUCGAAGACGAUCAGAUACCGUCGUAGUCUUAACCAUAAACUAUGCCGACUAGGGAUCGGGCGAUGUUAUCUUUUUGACUCGCUCGGCACCUUACGAGAAAUCAAAGUUUUUGGGUUCUGGGGGGAGUAUGGUCGCAAGGCUGAAACUCAAAGAAAUUGACGGAAGGGCACCACCAGGAGUGGAGCCUGCGGCUUAAUUUGACUCAACACGGGGAAACUCACCAGGUCCAGACACAAUAAGGAUUGACAGAUUGAGAGCUCUUUCUUGAUUUUGUGGGUGGUGGUGCAUGGCCGUUCUUAGUUGGUGGAGUGAUUUGUCUGCUUAAUUGCGAUAACGAACGAGACCUUAACCUGCUAAAUAGCCCGGCUAGCUUUGGCUGGUCGCUGGCUUCUUAGAGGGACUAUCGGCUCAAGCCGAUGGAAGUUUGAGGCAAUAACAGGUCUGUGAUGCCCUUAGAUGUUCUGGGCCGCACGCGCGCUACACUGACAGAGCCAACGAGUUCAUCACCUUGGCCGAAAGGUCUGGGUAAUCUUGUUAAACUCUGUCGUGCUGGGGAUAGAGCAUUGCAAUA